rnacentral:misc_RNA from 1 species
GAAAUGCGAUAAGUAAUGUGAAUUGCAGAAUUCAGUGAAUCAUCGAAUCUUUGAACGCACCUUGCGCUCCUUGGUAUUCCUUGGAGCAUGCCUGUUUGAGUAUCAUGAAAUCUUCAAAGUAAAUCUUUUGUUAACUCAAUUGGUUUCUACUUUGGUAUUGGAGGUCAUUGCAGCUUCACACCUGCUCCUCUUUGUUCAUUAGCUGGAUCUCAGUGUUAUGCUUGGUUCCACUCGGCGUGAUAAGUUAUCUAUCGCUGAGGACACUGUAAAAGGUGGCCAAGGUAAAUGCAGAUGAACCGCUUCUAAUAGUCCAUUGACUUGGACAAUACUUUUAUGAUCUGAUCUCAAAUCAGGUAGGACUACCCGCUGAACUUAAGC